rnacentral:rRNA from 1 species
UACGUAGGGUGCAAGCGUUGUCCGGAAUUACUGGGCGUAAAGAGCUCGUAGGUGGUUUGUCGCGUUGUUCGUGAAAACUCACAGCUUAACUGUGGGCGUGCGGGCGAUACGGGCAGACUUGAGUACUGCAGGGGAGUGGAAUUCUCGGUGUAGCGGUGAAAUGCGUAGAGAUCGAGAGGAACACCCGUGGCGAAGGCGGCUCCCUGGCCGAACACUGACGCUGAGACGCGAAAGCGCGGGGAGCGAACGGG